rnacentral:rRNA from 1 species
AGAUUGAACGCUGGCGGCAGGCUUAACACAUGCAAGUCGAGCGGUAGCAGGGAGAAAGCUUGCUUUCUCCGCUGACGAGCGGCGGACGGGUGAGUAAUGUCUGGGGAUCUGCCUGAUGGAGGGGGAUAACUACUGGAAACGGUAGCUAAUACCGCAUAACGUCGCAAGACCAAAGUGGGGGACCUUCGGGCCUCAUGCCAUCAGAUGAACCCAGAUGGGAUUAGCUAGUAGGUGGGGUAAUGGCUCACCUAGGCGACGAUCCCUAGCUGGUCUGAGAGGAUGACCAGCCA